rnacentral:lncRNA from 1 species
UAUUGAGGCCUCAAUCUUAAACAUUUAUACUCUUCUUUCUUUUGGUUUUUGUUUUAAAGGAAGUCAAGCCUCCAGGAGGCUGCUUAUCCUCUCAUUCUUACAUCCCAUUAGGGGACUGAUGGUUAUUACACAUUAAAUUUACAAAUACCCCAUCAACAAACCAUUUGUCUGUUUGGGGUUCAACAUAAAUUCUUUCACAAACAAGAGCUAUCAUUGUUCUAAUAAAAAAUCAGAGAAACAUCUAAAUACAAAACACUUUUACU